CUGUUCCUACGGGGGGCAGCAGUUAGGAAUAUUCGUCAAUGGGGGAAACCCUGAACGAGCAAUGCCGCGUGAGUGAUGAAGGUCUUAAUGAUUGUAAAACUCUGUUGUGAAGGAAGAAUAGCCAUCAUAGGUAAUGAUGAUGGUGUGACGGUACUUCACCAGAAAGCCGCGGCUAACUACGUGCCAGCAGCCGCGGUAAUACGGAGGGGGCGAGCGUUAUCCGGUUUUAUUGGGCGUA
rnacentral:rRNA from 1 species